rnacentral:rRNA from 1 species
GACGAACGCUGGCGGCGUGCUUAACACAUGCAAGUCGAACGGAAAGGCCCUGCUUUUGUUGGGUGCUCGAGUGGCGAACGGGUGAGUAACACGUGAGUAACCUGCCCUUGACUUUGGGAUAACUUCAGGAAACUGGGGCUAAUACCGGAUAGGAGCUCCUGCUGCAUGGUGUGGGUUGGAAAGUUUCGGCGGUUGGGGCUGGACUCGCGGGUUAUCAGCUUGUUGGUGGGGUAGUGGCUUACCAAGGCUUUGACGGGUAGCCGGCCUGAGAGGGUGACCGGCCACAUUGGGACUGAGAUACGGACCAGACUCCUACGGGAGGCAGCAGUGGGGAAUAUUGCACAAUGGGCGGAAGCCUGAUGCAGCAACGCCGCGUGCGGGAUGACGGCCUUCGGGUUGUAAACCGCUUUCGCCUGUGACGAAGCGUGAGUGACGGUAAUGGGUAAAGAAGCACCGGCUAACUACGUG